rnacentral:rRNA from 1 species
UACGUAGGGUGCAAGCGUUAAUCGGAAUUAUUGGGCGUAAAGCGCGUGUAGGCGGUUUGUUAAGUCUGAUGUGAAAGCCCCAGGCUCAACCUGGGAAGUGCAUUGGAAACUGGCAGACUUGAGUACGGGAGAGGAGAGUGGAAUUCCCAGUGUAGGAGUGAAAUCCGUAGAUAUUGGGAGGAACACCGGUGGCGAAGGCGGCUCUCUGGACCGAUACUGACGCUGAGACGCGAAAGCGUGGGUAGCAAACAGG